rnacentral:lncRNA from 1 species
GUGUCAAUCUUGAUGUCCACGAAGACGUAGAGCAUCUUCAGCCCACGCGUGGCAUCGAUGGGGAUCAGGCAGCUGUGUCCAUAGUGCACCAAGAAGUCAGCACCCAGAGCCCGCGCUGUGUAGUCGUCCACGCAGCACGCGCCGUAGGUCACAUCGCCCAUCACCACCGCCUUGGCGUCCGUGAACCGCUCAAUGAUAUCUGCGAUGGUG